rnacentral:rRNA from 1 species
GAUGAACGCUGGCGGCGUGCCUAAUACAUGCAAGUCGAGAGAAGCGGGGACGGGUGAGUAACACGUGAAUAACCGCCUAUAAGACUGGGAUAAAUUCGGGAAACCGGAGCUAAAACGGCGACUGAUAGAUGGAUCCGCGCUGCAUAAGCUAGUGGGUAAGGUAACGGAUUACCAAGGCAACGAUGCAUAGCCGACCUGAGAGGGUCAUCGGCCACACUGGCACUGAGACACGGUCCAGACGCGGACACGAGGCAGCAGUAGGGAAUCUUCCGCGAUGGACGAAAGCCUGACGGAGCAACGCCGCGUGAUUGCCGAAGGUCUUCGGAUCGUAAAACUCUUUUAGUAGGGAUGCUGUACCUAAUCAGAAAGUGACGACUACCCACGUGACAGCAGCCGCGGUAAUAC